UCUAUUGAAUGACUUGCAAUUCACUUGGCUUUAAAUCUUCAUAUUCCUCAUUUUGAAUGAAUAUAGAAGAAUAUGAUGCGUCCACCAGCUUAUGAAGAAGAAUCAUCCAAUUCUGAACUGAGUUUCAGUUUACAUCCGUAUGACAGUUAGUUGUCAGUUGAGUUAUAAUAACACAUAUGAAUAACAUACAAGUAUUGACAGAUUUUAUUAUCUGCCAUGUUCCAAACAUAAAAUCAUUCAAUUAUCGUCUAAGGAUUCAUAGUUCCAAAUCACUCCUGAAAAUCUUCUCUUAGUAUAAAUAUGGCGGCAGUGGUUUGGUUAGUUCUCCCAAAGAUUAGGCUUUCCUCCGUGGUUUUUACGAUGGAUUUUACAGUACAGGUUCCAUAUAAAAGGAUUUUGAUGUGGGGCACAGCAGUCGGCUGAUGUUCGCUUCAGGCAGGCGUUUUGCAGACAAAUUGACAUUUCCUUGUGAUAAU